UAUGACCUCAGUUUCCACAGACACC
rnacentral:piRNA from 1 species